CAGAAGCAUUGUGGGUUCUCCCAUGUUGUUGUCUGGAGCCAUUGGUUCUCCUGAGGAGCUUGUCAUGCUGGCUCCCCAGAUGCGAAUUUGGCCAUUAUCAUUGGAGGAGCCUGGGACUUUGUUGCUAAGAGUGGCUGUGGUUCACUUUGGGGGAACUUUAUUCCUUAUUUUGAUCAUCACUUCCUGGUUCUGGAGGGGAAGAUGUGCGCUGUUUAAUCGCCAGGAGAAGCGAUUACAAGAUAAACCAACCACAGUUAAUUAAAUGGGGUCUACACAGAUGAGUAAGUCUGGACACAUCGACAGGCGUGAGCCCAGAUGCUGUGACCAUGGGAAACAUUUCACAGUCCAAACCACCAAAGGGGCCUGGAGAAUAAUUAAUGAGAUCCAUAAGUAUGGGUACAAAGAAGCCCACUUUUAUAUCUUCAGAUUGCUAACUCCAGCAAAACCUUCCUCUUCUCCAAUGUUUUUUUUUCUUAUAACAAAUUUCUGACACAGAAGAGAACAUUUGUUUCAUAUUUUAUUGAAUUUCAUUUAUAUUAAAUUAAAAAUAUAUUUCUGACAGAUUCAUGUAACAAAAAGGCAGAACAGUUUUCAAAUUGUUCAGCUGGGAUGAUCAGUGUGGAAUGAGGUGAAGCAGUUCGCAUUCCUUAAUCACCUUGCACAGGUACAAUUCUUUCCCAAGAGCCAAAAGAGGAUCCUGGAGAAUUAACUGAAGAGCCUAAUUAUAGAAAUUUAAAAUACUCUUUCUCCCUCAUUCUCAAAUAACAGCAGAAAUGGGGGCAGGACAGAAAAUGGGGUGAAGGGUUGGAGAUGAAUGAAUAAGGGAAAUUAUACUAAAAAUAUACCUAACAUUAAAAAAGUUAGUAUGUGUUAAGUGCAUAAUCCUUCAUCAAUAAAAUAGAAAAAAAUAACAUUACACCACACACAAUUGGCAUAUCCUAUUGUGUAAGCGAAAGCAGAGGUUGGACACAUCACGAUAGUGCUAAACACAGAAUCACAAGUAAUGUCAAAAUGGUAACUUCCAACCAAAAAGAAACAAUCACAAGCCAAUUACUUAUAUACAAAUCAACCCUAGAGACCAUUAUAUUCCAAAUAAAGAUGUUCACAAAAGAAAAUCAAAGCAACAUUAUCCUUAUUUACAAAUGCAACUAGCCAUGUCUUUAACAAGCUAUAAAAAUACUAUUCACAUUUUCAAACAUACAGUAGUAUUUUUGUCUGUAUAUUUCAAAAAGGCAGCUAACUUUGAAUGCUGGGAUUUAAAUGAAACAUUGAUGGCUUACCAGCAAGUUAUUCUUGUACCUCUAUCCUUUGAAGAUACUUCACAAGAGAGAGGCCUUGUUUUCUGUUUACAAGUUAAGAAAAUAAGGAAAUGAACACAACUCUGCCUUUUGGGUAAAGUUUCUCCCUUUUUUCACCCAAACGGACCUUAGUCAACUGCUUUGACGCAUGCACAAGAUGAGUGUUUGAGAGAAGAUUGAAUGUGAUGUGGUUUUUCUUUGUGCUGUGAUUUGUCUUGCACGUUGAUCUUCUAAUGAUGCUCGAGGAAGGCAUAGACCGCUAGUAUAAGCACGUGAAAAUGCACAAUCACCAUGCAGUGACACAACCCCUGUUGCUCAUGAUAAAGAUGGAGACACAGCUGAGAUAUGCAUUCAAAGUUAGCUGCCCUCGCAUAGCUGCUCAGUUUAAUAAUCGACCCAUGUAACAGCAGUACCAGUUUAUGCUACAUAUUUCAAAGUACCUUACUUUAAAACAACAGCUUAUGUAUCUACAUUUAGAAAAUAACUUUUGUAGUUUGAUUAUGGGAGUAAUUCGAAAAAGGGUUCUUGGAGUGCUAUGGUUGUAAUCCCCUCACUCCCCCCUCCCAGCCCCUGAGAGAUCCAGAAAUAUACAGGAAAUAUAACUGCCACGUUAUGAGGAAAGGUACAACCCCUCCAUGAACCAAAAUAUCUGGGCAUGAUGUUUGAAAAUCAGGUUUAUGUCAAUAUCUAGGCGGUAUGGUUUGCUUUCCUUCAAAAGGGCUACAGGCCUGGGUGAAACCUCUAUAUAUCAGGGGCAAAAAAAAGCAGUAAAGGCCAAGUGAUUUGGACAAGCUAGACUAUUGCCUGAAUUUUAUGAAGCUUUGUUUUUAGAUAUUUGUAUAUUUGUGCAAAUAUAACCACACUCAUGAUAUGGGGGAAACUCUCUGGAGUAUUAAGCAAAAAAUACCCCCCGCAGAGCCCAAGUAGAGAAAGAAUGGCACUCUGUUAGAUCACAUAUAGUUUCACUAAAGUGAAACUGUGCUUGUUAUAUAUUUGUUAGAUGGAUAUGUCAUUCAGAAAAAAAAAACAAAAAAAAAACUGCAGAAAGCUCUCCAA